AAACUUUUCAGCUAGAGUAUGAUAGAGGAAAGCAGAAUUUCUAGUGUAGAGGUGAAAUUCGUAGAUAUUAGAAAGAAUACCAAUUGCGAAGGCAGCUUUCUGGAUCAUUACUGACACUGAGGAACGAAAGCAUGGGUAGCGAAGAGGAUUAGAUACCCUCGUAGUCCAUGCCGUAAACGAUGUGUGUUAGACGUUGGAAAUUUAUUUUCAGUGUCGCAGGGAAACCGAUAAACACACCGCCUGGGGAGUACGACCGCAAGGUUAAAACUCAAAUGAAUUGACGGGGACCCGCACAAGUAGUGGAGCAUGUGGUUUAAUUCGAAGAUACGCGCAGAACCUUACCAACACUUGACAUGUUCGUCGCGACUCUAAGAGAUUAGAGUUUUCGGUUCGGCCGGACGAAACACAGGUGCUGCAUGGCUGUCGUCAGCUCGUGUCGUGAGAUGUUGGGUUAAGUCCCGCAACGAGCGCAACCCUCACUUUUAGUUGCCAUCAUUAAGUUGGGCACUCUGAAAGAACUGCCAGUGAUAAGCUGGAGGAAGGUGGGGAUGACGUCAAGUCCUCAUGGCCCUUACGUGUUGGGCUACACACGUGCUACAAUGGUAUCUACUACAGGAAGCAAAACUGCGAAGUUAAGCAAAUCCCUAAAAGAUACCUCAGUUCGGAUUGCACUCUGCAACUCGAGUGCAUGAAGCUGGAAUUACUAGUAAUCGUGGAUCAGCGUGCCACGGUGAAUGCGUUCCCGGGUCUUGUACACACCGCCCGUCACACCAUGGGAGUUGGUUCUACCUUAAGGCAAGGUUUCAAACCCUUGACCACGGUAUAGUCAGCGACUGGGGUGAAGUCGUAACAAGGUAACCGUA
rnacentral:rRNA from 1 species